UUUUAUGUCUGGUUAUUAAUGUCAUCAUGCUCUACAGAUAGAGACCAGGAAAAGGCUUUUAGGUUCUCAUAUCCUGAGUUUCAGGAAUUUCUCCUCAUUUUCCUGCCAAGAGAGUCAGAUUCAAGAAGGUGUGAGUAAACCACUGCGACAACAGAAUAUUUAAUAUUCUCUUAUUUAGUAAAUUGCAUUGAAAUUAUCAUAAAUAAUUCAGCUAGUAUAAAUAAAUAUAAAUUCAACCGGAAAGGAAAGAUUUUCCCAAAGAUCCAAGGUUCAGGAGACAGGAAGGCAAGUUUUAGACCUGAUGUUGACUGAAUCAGUAGUGAGCUAUUGAAGCUUAAUCUCAGCAUAAUAUCAUAAAUUAUGAAACAUUGACAUUUCACUUUGAAUUAAUGCAAAAGAGCUAUUUAUACGCUGUUUUAGAGACAGUUGCUUGAACAAAUUAAUCCACUUUUUCCAUCACCAGGCCAAAUGUUAACAACACUGCUAUUUUUCAAAGUAUCAAACUAUUUGCAUAUUGGAACUGUUUUAAUACAAUCUGUCCCCCAGGGCUGCUGUGUGAGUUACUUUGAAAAGGUAAUCAGUCAUAAUUCACUGGCUCCUUAAUCCAUAAUCUAACUUGAUUCAGUAUACUACCGGUGAUUUUCAGUAUGAGAGAUUGCUUGUUUUCAUGCACUUGCUUUCUGUUUGAGAGCCACAGGCCACCAACGUAGGAAGAGACAUUCAAUGGGCUACAAUUGCCUUUCUGGGCUUGCUACCAAUAAAAGGUCUGGAUAGCAGUGGAAGAAUGAGGCAUGAGCAAGAAGCAAAAAUAUUCCAUAUACUUGCCUGAAUUUUGAACUUUGAAUACAAAAAUCUUCUGAUUCAGAAGUGCCUCAAGACUGAUGUGAACAAAUCACAGUCCAAUAUCCCCCAUAACCCAGUCUCAUUCAAGCCCAGCUAUGUUUAUCACUGUCUCAAAGAGGAGUGCAUCAAAUCCACAGACUCCCUUCCCAGGGAACAGACCUGCCAGUCAAAGAGGGUUGCGAUGUCAUCAGUGAGCUGAAGGCAAAUCACAGGAGGUGAUGCUGGAACGCUUACCCUCCAUCAAGGUACAAUAAAUACUUCUGCAAUUUCUCCUUGGAGCACUCUGAGGUGUUUUCCAAGCGGUGUGAUAUCUGUCACAAAGUCAGAUGAUCUGCAGUGCUGCUGACAUCAAUAUGUACUACUCACAUUUCCCCACAGCACCAGCAGCCUUUGGUCUGGCAUUUGGCAUCAGUGCAGAGGGUGUGGCAUCCUCCCCUCAACACUGGCUGGUGAGAUCAGCUGGAAGAGGACUGCUCUGUCAUGCUGGGCUGGCUCCAGACUAUUAAGCAUUUUUCUUUUUAAACCUUAUAAAACUGGGAGGCUGCCACCAAGUUGUCUGUUGGCCUUUGAUCCAUGCUAACAUCUAAUCCAUGGCUAGAAGAAGGUACUUGGCCUGGGACGCAUAGUGUCAGGGACUCUCUGACAAGUUAGCAGUCUGGAGGACUGAUUUCCAGUGCUUGAGAACAUUCCUGGCGCUAUUUGUAAGCAGAAGUGUAUAUAAGCUUACAAGCAUAUGUGUAAGCAUACUCUCUAACUACUGUUUUCCCACAAACCCUGUCAUUUUUCAAUGAUCCUUCAUUUAUUCAAUCCAGAUAGGAGCUGGUUCCUUUGAUUUACAUUUUUUACACUCCUUCAUGCUCCUGCAUAUUUUAAAUCUGCAGAGAGUGUUUGUGAACUUCCAGUCUGAUUGCCCACGUAACACUGCAUUUCCCCAUCAGUCGACAAAAGUGAUAGUUAAAUGGUUAAGGCGUUCCCUUUAUAAGCAAACAACCUGUUCUUUUGGCUCUUCUUGAUGCACUUGGAAAUGUUCACUGAUAGAUUUAAAUUAGCAGGAUACCACUUAGAAUGCAACUACACCAGCUUCUAGUCUGCUUUCAUUUUGAAACAGGGCUUCUGUGCUCAUAUUCUCUGCGUAUCUAUCUGUCACUCUCUUCCCCUGGGUUUUUUUGGCUUGUGCAAUUUCAAUCACAUUUAGCAGUGGUCCCAAAGAGAUUAUUUUUUGACAAGUUCUAAUAUAACAGAGGGUGGAUUGAUGAGAGAGAUGCUGUUAAUAUCCCUGGGAUAAGGGCCACAACAUGCACUCAAGUGUUAUUAAGGCACCAAGAGUACAUCUGCAAGGCAUAGUUCCAUAGGAGACCAGGCUUCCUCAGUUUCACUGACUACAGAUACUGCAUGUUUUGUCCUUAUCUACCAAUCUGACCAUAAUAUUCAUCUUCUGGAUUUCUUCCCGAUUUAUUUUCAAAUUCAUUCCCAGUGGGGGUCCUGUAUGGUUGGGAUUUCUACUUUUUCUACUCCUAUGUAAAUCUGAACAAAAUUCCUCGAUCUGAUUCCAACAGGCAUUUUUCUUUGAAAAAUUACUUUGAUAUGAACACAAAAGUAGCAUCACUAGGCCAGGAAAGCUCAAAACUUUGUUUUUCAUGCAAAUGAGUAAGAGUCUUUCAGCAAUUUUCAGCUUGAAUGUCUAUUCUGUUUAUGGAUCACAGCAGAAGGAAAAGAAGGAAGUCAUAAAAAUAUUUUUGGAGUUGAAUUAUAAAUGGAAAAGAUGUUCCAGAAAUCACCUCUGCAUCACUCAGUCUCUGGUGCUGGCACACUGUGCCUCGGGACUUGCUGCUGGGUUUUUGAACAAAAUCUGUAAACUGGAAAAAUAAACCCGUUUGUGGCUCUGAUUUUGUGAUGUCUAUGCACUGAACU